rnacentral:rRNA from 1 species
UACGUAGGGUGCAAGCGUUUUUUUUGUCCGGGAAUAUUUGGGCGUAAGAGCUCGUAGGCGGUCUGUCGCGUCUGCUGUGAAAACUCAGGGCUUUAACCCUGAGCUUGCAGUGGGGUACGGGCAGACUAGAGUGCGGGUAGGGGGAGACUGGAAUUUCCUGGUGUAGCGGUGAAAUGCGCAGAUAUCUGGAGGAACACCGGGUGGCGAAGGCGGCAUCCUGGACCAACACUGACGCUGAGGAGCGAAAGCCAGGGGGAGCAAACGGG